rnacentral:rRNA from 1 species
CAGCAGCCGCGGGAAUACGAAGGGUGCAAGCGUUACUCGGAAUUACUGGGCGUAAAGCGUGCGUAGGUGGUGGUUUAAGUCCGUUGUGAAAGCCCUGGGCUCAACCUGGGAAUUGCAGUGGAUACUGGGUCACUAGAGUGUGGUAGAGGAUAGUGGAAUUUCCGGUGUAGCAGUGAAAUGCGUAGAGAUCGGAAGGAACAUCUGUGGCGAAGGCGACUAUCUGGGCCAACACUGACACUGAGGCACGAAAGCGUGGGGAGUAAACAGGAUUAGAUACCCCCGUAGUCCCUGUCUCUUAUAC